rnacentral:rRNA from 1 species
ACAUUCAGCCAUAUCUCCCUGUAGUUCUCACCUGGUUUCCCACUGAAGCUAAGUAGGGUUGAACCUGGCCAGUACCUGGAGGGGAGACCUCCUGGAGAAAACGAAGGUUGCUGCUUGAA